UUUAAAUGGCCGCAGUACCUUGACUGUGCUAAGGUAGCAUAAUCAAUUGGCUUCUAAUUAAAGUCUGGAAUGAAAGGAAAUAUGAAGUAAUUCUAUCUUAAAAGAUUUUUUUUGAAUUUAUUUAAAUGAUGAAAAUAUCAUUUUGUAGAAAAAAGACGAGAAGACCCUUAGAGUUUUGAUAUUAUUAUAUAUAUUUUUGUUGGGGCGACAGGUAAACACUAUUAACUUUACGAGUUAUAUUGAUCGAUUUUUUAUAAGAAUAAUAAAAUUACCUUAGGGAUAACAGCAUUAUAUAUUUCUAUGAUUGUGACCUC
rnacentral:rRNA from 1 species